rnacentral:rRNA from 1 species
AGAGCGAACGCUGGCGGCAGGCCUAACACAUGCAAGUCGAGCGCCGUAGCAAUACGGAGCGGCAGACGGGAGAGUAACACGUGGGAACGUACCCUUUGGUUCGGAACAACCCAGGGAAACUUGGGCUAAUACCGAAUAAGCCCUUACGGGGAAAGAUUUAUCGCCGAAGGAUCGGCCCGCGUCUGAUUAGCUAGUUGGUGGGGUAACGCCCACCAAGGCGACGAUCAGUAGCUGGUCUGAGAGGAUGAUCAGCCUCAUUGGGACUGAGACACGGCCCAAACUCCUACGGGAGGCAGCAGUGGGGAAUAUUGGACAAUGGGCGCAAGCCUGAUCCAGCCAUGCCGCGUGGGUGAUGAAGGCCCUAGGGUUGUAAAGCCCUUUCGGCGGGGAAGAUAAUGACGGUACCGCAGAAGAAGCCCCGGCUAACUUCGUGCCAGCAGCCGC